GGAAAGUCAAUGGAUUUCGGGCAGUUCAAGACGAAUCAUGGCGGCUUUCAUUGGAUUACUAGCCAUUCCUCUUCGGCAUUUUCUUGGCUGAGCAGCUCGGCGACGUAGAAGAAACAGCUGAGUCAAGGAGCAAUGGGAGUAUUUCCCAAGUUCCUGAGACUGCUCUUUGAUGUUGGCCCUGAUUUUACCGUGUACUCAACUUGCCCCACGGGAUAUUAAGCUUUUCAACUCAAGAUAUCUUAACUGUCCACCAAUAUUAUCAUUUCUUAAACCUAA
rnacentral:sRNA from 1 species